GACGAACGCUGGCGGCGUGCUUAACACAUGCAAGUCGAACGGUAAGGCCCUUUCUUUGUUGGGGGGUGGGGUGGCGAAGGGGUGAGUAACGUGAGAGUAAACUGCCCUUCACUUUGGUAUAGCUUAACGGCACUGGGGCGUAUCCCAGAUGGGAUCUCCUGGUGCAUUGUGGGGGUGGGAAAGUUUCGGGGGUUGGGUAGGGGGUGGCGGCGUAUCAGGCUGUUGGGGGGGUAGUGGGUUAGCAAGGCUUUCACGGGUAGACGGGCUGAGAGGGUGACAGGCCAGAUUGGGACUGAGACACGGCCCAGAAUCCUACGAGAGGGAGCAGUGGGGAAUAUUGCACAAUGGGCGGAAGGCUGAUGCAGCAACGCCGCGUGCGGUGUGACGGCCUUCGGGUUGUAAACCGCUCUCGCCUGGUACGAAGCUUGAGUGACGGUAAUUGGUAAAGAAGCACCGGCUAACUACGUG
rnacentral:rRNA from 1 species